rnacentral:rRNA from 1 species
ACGAGACCCCUGCCUGCUAAAUAGUUGGGCGAAUGAAUGUUCAUUGGCCGCAGCUUCUUAGAGGGACGUGCGUUCUAUUAGACGCAGGAAGAUAGGGGCAAUAACAGGUCUGUGAUGCCCUUAGAUGUCCUGGGCCGCACGCGCGUUACACUGAUGCACUCAACGAGUCUGCCUUGGCCGAGAGGCCUGGGAAAUCUUGUUAACAUGCAUCGUGAUAGGGAUAGAUUAUUGCAAUUAUUAAUCUUGAACGAGGAAUUCCUAGUAAACGCAGAUCAUCAAUCUGCAUUGAUUACGUCCCUGCCCUUCGUACACACCGCCCGUCGCACCUACCGAUUGAAUGGUCCGGUGAAGCCUCGGGAUUGCGAUGAGUUUCCUUCAUUGGGAGUUCGUCGCGAGAACCUGUCUAAACC